CCUACGGGUGGCUGCAGUGGGGAAUAUUGCACAAUGGGCGCAAGCCUGAUGCAGCCAUCCCGCGUGUGUGAAGAAGGCCUUCGGGUUGUAAAGCACUUUCAGCGGGGAGGAAGGCGGUGAGGUUAAUAACCUCAUCGAUUGACGUUACCCGCAGAAGAAGCACCGGCUAACUCCGUGCCAGCAGCCGCGGUAAUACGGAGGGUGCAAGCGUUAAUCGGAAUUACUGGGCGUAAAGCGCACGCAGGCGGUCUGUCAAGUCGGAUGUGAAAUCCCCGGGCUCAACCUGGGAACUGCAUUCGAAACUGGCAGGCUAGAGUCUUGUAGAGGGGGGUAGAAUUCCAGGUGUAGCGGUGAAAUGCGUAGAGAUCUGGAGGAAUACCGGUGGCGAAGGCGGCCCCCUGGACAAAGACUGACGCUCAGGUGCGAAAGCGUGGGGAGCAAACAGGAUUAGAUACCCCUGUAGUC
rnacentral:rRNA from 1 species